AAGACGAUGUGUAACUGGCGAAACACGGAUUACCGUGAGGGAGCACAUAAUGUCUCGUAGCCGUUCGCCUGGGCAGAGGUA
rnacentral:ncRNA from 2 species